GGCCGUUUAGCUCAGUCAGUUGAGCAUAGCGCUAACAACGCUAAGGUGGCAGAUUCGAUUCCUGUUCGGUCG
rnacentral:tRNA from 1 species